rnacentral:rRNA from 1 species
GAAUCUUGGACAAUGGGGGCAACCCUGAUCCAGCGACGCCGCGUGGGUGAUGAAGGCCUUCGGGUUGUAAAGCCCUUUCACCGGGGACGAUGAUGACGGUACCCGGAGAAGAAGCACCGGCUAACUCCGUGCCAGCAGCCGCGGUAAUACGGAGGGAGCUAGCGUUGUUCGGAAUUACUGGGCGUAAAGCGCGCGUAGGCGGCUUUUCAAGUCAGGGGUGAAAUCCCGGGGCUCAACCCCGGAACUGCCCUUGAAACUGGAUGGCUAGAAUACUGGAGAGGUGAGUGGAAUUCCGAGUGUAGAGGUGAAAUUCGUAGAUAUUCGGAAGAACACCAGUGGCGAAGGCGACUCGCUGGACAAGUAUUGACGCUGAGGUGCGAAAGCGUGGGGAGCAAACAGG